rnacentral:rRNA from 1 species
CACGUAGGGCGCAAGCGUUGUCCGGAAUUAUUGGGCGUAAAGAGCUCGUAGGCGGUCUGUUGCGUCUGCUGUGAAAACCCGGGGCUUAACCCCUGGCUUGCAGUGGAUACGGACAGACUAGAGGUAGGUAGGGGAGAAUGGAAUUCCCGGUGUAGCGGUGAAAUGCGCAGAUAUCGGGAGGAACGCCGGUGGCGAAGGCGGUUCUCUGGGGCCUUACCUGACGCUGAGGAGCGAAAAGCGUGGGGAGCGAACAGG